UACUUAGUGGCAGACGGGUGAGUAACAUGUGGGUAUCUACCCUUUGGCCUGGAAUAACACGAGGAAACUUGUGCUAAUACCGGAUAAGUCUUUACGGAGAAAGCUUUAUGCACCAUUGGAUGAGCCCGCACUUGAUUAGUUUGUUGGUAGGGUAAUGGCCUACCAAGACUAUGAUCAAUAGCUGAUUUGAGAGGAUGAUCAGCCACAUUGGGACUGAGACACGGCCCAAACUCCUACGGGAGGCAGCAGUGGGGAAUCUUGCACAAUGGAGGAAACUCUGAUGCAGCGAUGCCGCGUGAGUGAAGAAGGCCUUUGGGUUGUAAAGCUCUUUCGUCGGGGAAGAAAAUGACUGUACCCGAAUAAGAAGGUCCGGCUAACUUCGUGCCAGCAGCCGCGGUAAUACGAAGGGACCUAGCGUAGUUCGGAAUUACUGGGCUUAAAGAGUUCGUAGGUGGUUGAAAAAGUCC
rnacentral:rRNA from 1 species